rnacentral:rRNA from 1 species
GACGAACGCUGGCGGCGUGCUUAACACAUGCAAGUCGAACGGAAAGGCCCUGCGUUUGUGGGGUGCUCGAGUGGCGAACGGGUGAGUAACACGUGAGUAACCUGCCCUUGACUUUGGGAUAACUUCAGGAAACUGGGGCUAAUACCGGAUAGGAGCUCCUGCUGCAUGGUGGGGGUUGGAAAGUUUCGGCGGUUGGGGAUGGACUCGCGGGUUAUCAGCUUGUUGGUGGGGUAGUGGCGUACCAAGGCUUUGACGGGUAGCCGGCCUGAGAGGGUGAACAGCGACAUUGGGACUGAGAUACGGCCCAGACGCCUACGGGAGGCAGCAGUGGGGAAUAUUGCACAAUGGGCGGAAGCCUGAUGCAGCAACGCCGCGUGCGGGAUGACGGCUUUCGGGUUGUAAACCGCUUUCGCCUGUGACGAAGCGUGAGUGACGGUAAUGGGUAAAGAAGCACCGGCUAACUACGUG